UAAUACCCAUACCACGACCCAGCCUACCAGCUUGGGAUUGCCUCUCUUGGGUAGCAUCUCGGUGCACCUCUUCAAUCUUCUUUGGACCUUCAACUUUUCUCCUUUGUUGCCAUCUAUUCCUUCUUAAAUCAAUGGUAUCCUUCAACAUGAACCUCACCCUAGAAGAUAAACUCAUGUUGUUUGAUAAUAAUUUAAUCCUUUCAAAAUAUACAUCCAUAUGUUCCUUGGCUUUGGGGUGAUCAAUCAUCUCCCAAACUCAUGUUGUUUGAUAAUAAUUUAAUCCUUUCAAAAUAUACAUCCAUAUGUUCCUUGGCUUUGGGGUGAUCAAUCAUCUCCCCAAUAGUACUCAUCAGUUUGCAUAAAGCUUCAAUAUCUUCUUCAUCAGGAUUCUGACACUGACCGAGUAACUUUUUGAUGCACUCGUGCAUUAUCCUCUCUGUCAGCAUUCUCUUCUUAUAUAGUUCUCC
rnacentral:lncRNA from 1 species